rnacentral:rRNA from 1 species
UACGUAGGGGGGCAAGCGUUGUCCGGAAUCAUUGGGCGUAAAGAGCGUGUAGGCGGCCCGAUAAGUCCGCCGUGAAAGUCCAGGGCUCAACCCUGGAAUGCCGGUGGAAACUGUCGGGCUGGAGUCCGGAAGAGGCGAGUGGAAUUCCUGGUGUAGCGGUGAAAUGCGCAGAUAUCAGGAGGAACACCAAUGGCGAAGGCAGCUCGCU